CCUCUUCCUCCUCCUCGUUCUCCUCCUCCUCCUCCUCCUCCUCUUCCUCCUCCUCCUUCUUCUUCUCCCCUUCACCACCAUCACCACCAUCAUCUUCCUCCUUCUGCUCCUCCUGCUCCUGCUGCUGCCGCUGCUGCUUCUACUCCCGUUCCCUUGGAGCGGUCCAUCCUGGUGCCUCUUUUGUGAAGCGGAGGCUGAGGAUAUUCCCGGACUCGCCAUGGCGGACGAAAAGCCUAAGGAAGGAGUCAAGACUGAAAACAAUGACCACAUUAAUUUGAAGGUGGCAGGGCAAGAUGGGUCGGUGGUGCAAUUUAAGAUUAAGAGACACACACCACUUAGUAAACUAAUGAAAGCCUAUUGUGAACGACAGGGUUUGUCAAUGAGGCAGAUCAGAUUCCGAUUUGAUGGACAACCAAUCAAUGAAACAGACACACCUGCACAAAAAAUCUUGUAGUUAGCCACAAGAAGCUGAAUUUUCUUCUGGAAGAAAAAUGAAAAUUGGGUACUUAUACCAGAAAACACAUGUAAAGUUGGAAAUGGAGGAUGAAGAUACAAUUGAUGUAUUCCAGCAGCAGACAGGAGGCAUAUACUAAAGAGAACAUGCAACUCUACUCCAGAACUGUGCUCCCAAGGAAAACAAUGCAUUCACAAUUAGAAAACCAAGAUUUGGUUCAUCCACAUCCUGACUACUGCAGUAUAGUUUUCUCUCUUCUUUAUCCCUUCCCCCAUUCCUAUAUUGUACAUAAAGUAACUGGUGUAUGUGCACAGGCAUAAUGCGUAUUUUUUUUUUUUUUAAACUAAAUGGCAGAUGGUAUGUUUUGAUCAACAUCAAAUGGAGAUGGGGAGGGGAAAAAACAAACUGGUUCUGUGAAAAUAUCCCUUUUCUCCAUUAGUGGCAUGCUCAUUCAACUUUAUCUUUAUAUUCCAGUAAGUUAUUUUGCUCUCACUGUUUAACAACAAAAAAAAACCCCACAAAAAAAUCCUUGCAUACCUUGUUUGAUUGGAUAAUUUCAAUGUUUUUCUUUUAUCAUUGUAAAACCAAGGACGAUUUUAUAACUUUUUUGUACGUAGCUGUUACAUGUAGGGCAAUCUCUGUCUCUCAGUAGGGAUAAAUUACUAUAAAAAAUUGAUCCUAGAUAGUUUUCCCUUCGAGUCAAACAUCUUGUUGUUUAAAUAAACUUCUUGUUUAAAAUAAACUGUUUUCUUUAAUUAUUCUCAAGAAAUUGUUAAGAAAUGGUGAUGUAGUUAACAUAGUUUAACAUGCUAGGAGAGGUUACAUAAUUAAAACUUAUUUUAUUUACUUAAAAAAUUAGCAAUCAGUGAUUUGACAUUUCUGUUGGCAUUAUUGGUUAAGAUUUAGUAAAUGGAUUUUAUUUUUUUGUAUGCUCAGUUUUGCAUUAAUUUCAGAAAUUCAAAGAAUGUGUGAAGAUUAAAGGAAGAAAGUGAAAUAUGGUGUGCAAUGUAUGGCUCUGUUGUGCUCAUUAUUCAGUGGAAGGAAGGUUUAGCUUCAGAAGAACUGAAGAAGAAAGUAAGUGGUACCAGUUCCACAAGAAGUUGUCCCACAAGAUGAGAUUUGGGGACUUGUAAGUAUAUAAUUCUAGACAGAAAUAGUAACUUCAAAUUUCAUUUGUUUUAAAAAAUUAUGGUGAUGGCAAUACAUUUCUAACUUAAUUUUCUGUCUUGGAAAAGCCAUUCUUUGUCUAGAGAUACUUGACCUAAAAUGAACUGAAGCAGGGGUAGGGAGGAGGUAACAUUUUCGUACUUGCAGUAUUGGCAAAGGAAAAAAGCUAAUACUGUAGGAUCUGUGACUCUCUUAAAGAUCUGCUUCCCCUAGUGGAGAUUGUUCUCCAUUUCUGAUCUAGUGAGUGGAAUUCUUUGGUCAGUCUGGUUAUAAGCUUCUGAAUUUACUUAAACUUGUGCAAAUAGAUGUGCAUGUAUAGAGACUAUCACCAGAUUUGAACUUAAAACCUUUCCAUCUUUGUGGGAUUUGUCUGACCUAGUGUUCCUCUACCCAUGUCAUGAUCAGAGGGGAGGGGUUUAGUGUGGGAAGAGCUUCUUAUCAAAUUGUAUUAUUGAAAAUAAUAUUAGCUGAAACAAUGUUAAAUCUUUAUGAUGCUAUUAUUGGUAAGAAAUUAAUGAUUUCUAAGAGGGAUACAAUUUUUAUUCUGAGCUGUCACUGUUUCUCCUUCCUCCUCCCUUCAUAGGUUAUAGGCAACAAUUUGAUCUGGUCACAUAUUUGGAAAAGAGUCAGGUGUUUAUAAAGUAAAUUUAAUCCUUGCUAUCUUUAUUCUAAUAUAUCUGUAAACAUUUUAAUUCCACAAUGUAACCUGAAAGAAAAUAAAUUGUUACAAUUGUAGCAAUGGAUCAGAGUACAGAUAUUAAACCUAUUCUCUACUUUUGUUAAA